UCUCUCUCUCUCUCUCUCUCACAAGCGCUCUCUGUCUCGCAGGCUGUCUAUGUCUUGCACUGAUUCUCACUGCUGUCAGUUUAUUUGUGCUUCCAGAAAAGUUACAUUUCAAAACCUGGCAGAGAAAGUUGAAAUCUCUGUCUUCUCUUUGUGCCUGCAAAUAUGUCCUGUGUCUGUGAACUCAUUCCAAACAAUGUCUGUAUUCCUCUAACAUGAUUCUGAGGUGUCUUAAGUCUUCUAAUUCCCCCCCCCCCCCCAAACCAUCUUCAUCUUCUUCACCCCAUCUGCUUCCCUUAUCUGUCUCUGAGAACUACCAUUUCUAACCCUUUGAUUGCAAAUGGAGCAAGAGAAAUGGGGAACAGAAACUGUACAGUAAAAUCUAAAAUCUUCCCUAAAAUGGAUGACAAAGUACUAGGAAUGACAGACAUGGACACAUGAGAAUGAAUCACUGAAAGAUGUUGCACUUUGGGGAGACAAUGUAAGAACUGUGUAUUUAAAGAGGAUUGUCAACAAACGUGAAGAACCAUGAAAUGGAGAACAGUUUGAAGAAAGAAAGAAACAAGCAAAAUGUGAGGAGGAAGGAAGCACAUCGCUUCUCAGUUGUUGAGUUUCUAAAAUCCCCCUUUCUCUCUAAGAAGAGGAAAUCUUAGGACACAAUUCAUCCAGCAAUCCCUACUGGAUUUACUAGAGAACAAAAGGAGACAAUGAAAUAUGUUAAGAGAGAAAAACAGAGAGAGCGGUUGGAAAGAUCAUCGAUGAACUGGAGGAAAAGAGACAUCGCACCUGAAGCAUAUGUUCCAGUGGACUCAAAGACACCAAUGACUAAGCAUGCCUUCUGUGACACAAACUUCAAUGACGAGUCAUAUCAUCCCUCCUCCAUGAACAACCCCAAACCACACCCUGAAGAUUAGCCAAACAAACAUUACUGUAAGAUUCUCCAGAUAGAAAGAAAAUAGCAGCAAAAUUACUUGAAGCCCUUUACAACUUAGUUGUCAUGUGGGUGUCAUCAUUAAGGCUCCUUAGAUAAUGUUUCUAUGAUCUCACGUGUAUGGUAUACGACCAGACAAAACAUAAGACAACAAGACUAUUGAACCUAAUGUCACACAAAUACUAGUUUGUGUGUGAACCAAGGGGGUAUUUAAGUUUCCCCCUCUGAAAACUUUAUGCAAAGCUAGGGCUUAUCCUCCCUGGUAGCCAUGGCUGCUUCUGAACCAGGCUAGCUGGACAGCUUCUAUAGCCUGGAUAGCCUAGCCUUCCACAAGGCUCUUUCUGCUGCGACAGUGCUUUAUCCCAAGCAUACAGCCACUGUAGGUGACAUAUCAGCCAUGCCAAUCUCACACACAGCUCACAGACUACUGACUUUCAAGCUCCUGUGGCUUGUGUUCAUGACUGACUUUUCAGCUUGCCACAAAAAAACAACCAAUGGACAACUUUAAAGGCACCUCUGGUUCACUAGCUGCUCCAGGAGAAUGCGUGUGCUGGCAAAAGGAGAGAGGGACUACUAACAGAAGAAAACCUGUCCUCAGUACACCCAGGAAAAAAGGAAGAAUCAGGAAAACUGAAAUACAAUUGCUCUCUCUCUCUUUCUUUCUUUCCUCUCUUCUCCUCUGUAUCUCCUCCCAGCUGCUUCUCAGCAUUGCUACUCCUCUGUAGCAAACUGCAUGGCAUGAAUGGAAAAAAAAAAAAUGAAAAAAGUAGAGAAUACAAGAAUGGAGAGAAGAAAAGAGUGAAGGAGAGAGAUCAAAAAGAUGUUUUACACAAACAUUCACAAAACAUCAACAUAUAUAAAACAAUAUUUUUUCAAACCAGUAGCAGAAAAUAACAACAAAUGGUGGACUGUGGUUUGAGAAGACAGAUAUAUUAAAGGGUUCCCCUCCUUUCUUUGGAAGAGAGAAUGGAGGGAGCUAAAGUUCUGAAGUCUUCUAGCGCCAAGCCUCUGGGGGGAUGGAGAUAAAGUGCAGGGAUUCUGCAGCAAUGGGUGAACUCUAAAAAACGAUUCUGGGAGAUAAAAAAAGAGUAGAAAUUGGAAAAUGCAUUUGUAUUACUUUGUUUACCAGCAUGACUAUUCUGCAUGACUACUUCUGCAAGCCCUGAUCCCCCCCAAACGAGGGCUAGGCAUUGAAAAAAGGUACAAAAUCAAGACGAAACUAAAAGAUUCAUGUUACAUGCAACCGAUUAAAAGAAGAGCAGGAUUAUAUAAAAAAAAAGAAUCUAUAUUUUGUU